rnacentral:pre_miRNA from 1 species
CAAGUACUCCCUCCGUCUGGAAUUACUUGUCAUCAAAAUGGAUGUGUCUAGAACUAAAAUACAUUUAGAUACAUCCAUUUCAAUGACAAGUAUUUUUGGAUAGAGGGAGUACAAG